GGGGGGGGUGGGCAGGUCAACCUCUAAUCUUAUUAUGAACAGAGAGCACUACCACUGCACACUGACCCCCAACUCCCCCUUCUGUUCACCCCAACUAACCCAGGCCUUAAACCCCACCCGUCCACGCAGGCAACUUCAAGAACCCCACCAGGGCCAAAGAGCAUUCCUGUGAAUCUACAACGAGGGGAUCUGAGAGAGACCAUUUGUAAGGGAGGCUGGAUAGUGAUGAGUGUCAUGUGGUAGAAAAUAAGAAGAGAGAAGUGCGCGGUGCAGUUAAUUAGUUUGCAUUUGAACUGUUGCACCACCUAAAGCCAAGCGGAGGGUCUCUGCUUUGGAAAGGUCCCCGGGGGGAUUACAACACACAAAUAACUGAUUUACAGUAAAUACAACCACUGAGGUUAUGCAAAUCACAAUGAACACAAAGUAGAUACGGUACUUGGGCCACAAUAAAUGUUGAAUCAUUGUUCAGUGGUCACGUAGAAAGCAUUUUUUAGGACUUAAAGUACUGUGGUCUGAAAAAUGUUCCCGUCAGCACCUCAGUGUUACUUUUCCAUCCAAAAGGGAUCAGAUUAUGUGGCACUUUGUCAUGUGAUGCUUUUAAGUGCAACAAUUCCCAUGUGUUCUCCCUGUUAUUGACAUGCAUGUUGGAGGAAGAACUCCUGGCUGGGAGCGCAGCUGUUUAUGUAUUUCCUUUUUAUAUUAAUAGUUGAAUAAAUUCAUCAGCGGUGGAAAGUAAGUCACUUUUACUUCUGUGCUGAUUUCGUUUUUAUAUUUUGGACAGUUACUUUUCAGAUAAAUGUUCAUUAAUGUAAUGAAUUAAUGUCUCGGUAGAGAUACAGAGACCAGGAGGUAAAGCUACCGGUUUGCCCACAUUUAGUGAAUAUAAACCUGUGAUGACUGAAUAAAAGAGUUCUGCUGAUUUAGUGACUUUCAUAUUUGUAUAAUGUCCAAAGGAAAUGUGCUAUUGCAGCCGUUGUUUGCUUUUCAAAUAAAAACUACUUGCAUCAGCAUUGAAGUUAUAGUCAUGACUCAAAAUAGUAAGUUGAUAUGUUAGUUUUAGGUGUGUUAAGCUAACAUGCGUUUUCAGUUCACCCAAUUAACUUGUACCAUUUAACCUUUUAGAGCUCCCAAUUGAAGCUGGGUUUCAAUUUCAAUUGAAGCUACUACGGCUUUAUUGUUAGCAAGUCCCUAACAAUAACAUUCAACCACAAAUCAUGAUAAUAAUCAUACACUUAGUUUCAUACACUAAAUUCAAUGUAUACUGUAAAAUCUACUUGUCAGUUUGUACCGUUGCGCAAAAUCUCCUGAAAGUCUCUGAUUGAAAAAUGUGUUAGAUUCAACUAAUCCCGAUUAAACUUUCUCACUUUAGGUUUGUUACUCUUGGUUUAGGUAUGUUAUGAUUGGUUUAGGCAUGUUACGCUUAAUUUAGGUAUGUUAUACUUGGUUAAGGUAUGUUAUACUUCGUUUAGGUAUGUCGAUUUAUAAUUUUUUUUAGGUAUGUGUAACUAUGGAUCAAUAAGAGAUCAUUGUUCCUGAGUUUACACCAGAGUCUCUCGUAUAGACCCAUGGAGACGGUUUGGUUUAGGUAUGUUAUACAUGGUUUAGGCAUGUUAUACAUGGUUUAGGUAUGUUAUACAUGGUGGUUUAGGUAUGUUAUAUUUGGUUUAGGUCUGUCAUACAUGGUUUAGGUCUGUCAUACUUGGUUUAGGUAUGUUAUACUUGGUUUAGGUAUGUUAUACUUGGUUUAGGUAUGUUAAACUUAGUUUAGGUAUGUCAUACAUGGUUUAGGUAUGUUAUAUUUGGUUUAGGUCUGUCAUACAUGGUUUAGGUAUGUUAUACUAAAUCCAGUAGAUGUCACUGUGUCUCUGAAACAUCACUUUUCAAACGUGCCUAUUAGUUCAAGAAUGACAGUGUUUUGAGAACGUUUCCUUCUUACUGAGGCAAACCCAAAGCAAGGAUUACAUGUGGCAACAUCUGCAUCACACAUACAGGAGAGCCUUUGGAUUGCGGGAGGCAGAGAAUGUGGGAGAUGUCAGCGCUCCAAACUGUGUAUCAAAUUUUAAAUUACUUAUAUUUUUCUGUGAUUUUACUUGUUUUAUGGUUAUGGUUUGUUUUGCCCUAUAUUUCUUUUGUAUGUUUUUGGGGCUUUUAGUUAAAUUGAUUUCUUUUGUUGUGUUACGCUGUGACGGUGCUUUUAAAGGUGCUACAUAAAUAAAGUUGAUUAUUUAUUAUCGUCAUUAAGUGCUGCUGCAUGCAGGACUGUCUGUCGUCUGAAAUGGAUGGUGGUCACUGAGGGGGCUUGUUUUGGUUACAACUGGCCCCUUAGACCCACUAACUCAUCUAAAAUGUGACACAAAUCACCCCAAAAAUGCAAAGGGGUCCAACAAACAGACCCCGACGUGGCUCAGAGCGGAAGGGACGCGCUGCGUUGUGCACAGGGAUUCAAACACCGACGCCAAGGCGCCGUCCCGUUCCUCCGGGCCCGAGGCGCUCCACUGAACAGGGAACGCUGGAUCUCCCAGCAUGCAACAGGACGAUACGGGCUGAGCGGAGCUCGACUUGAAGGCACAGACAGGGAGAAUGCAUUGUGGACCACAAUGCGAUGCCUGCCGUCAUCCGACAAACAUGCCGUCUCCUAUUGUGUCAGGAGCCCCCGCGGGCCGCUGUGUAAACAUCCCCUCUGGACCCCAUCAGGACUAUAUUCAGACCCCGAGCAGGAAGUGACUUCAACAUCCACCGCAGCCUUUCCUUUCUCAGGUGGGGAACCAAGAAGGGGCAGGGGGGGGGGGGCUCCUUGAAUUCACAUUUAUUUUGUCCAAAAUCUUUUAUGCAGGCGUGACCUUUGACACCAUCGUGAGAACAUACAGAGACAAUUAUUGCCUAAACGAAUAAUAUAAUUGUCAUUUCAGCAUAUUUACCUCGAAACCAACCAACAUACUGCGCGGUGUGGACCUGUCGUGUUGGCAAACACAUUCAGCGGCGCUGAUUGCAUUAGAAGUACCAGGUUGAGCUACGGAACCCGUGGGGAGCGAUGGAGCUGGUGAAAAAAGGCCGACGUGCUUGGCUGACAGUUGUGAAAACCUUACAGGGGGAGCUACGAGGUUCAAACUGGGCCGAAGCCAAAAAGCAUUAAUGGGGCCUUAUUAAAACACACUCCCCCACAUAGACGACCGUGUAGCCCUCCAGGUUGCCCACACACUUUAGUGCAAGAUGUUUUAACUUUUAUUGUGAAUAAACCUCCUGUUUUCUCAGUAUAAACACUCCUUUCGGACAUAAUCUGUUUGUGGGAGGAAAUGAACCCUUCUUCCGCCUCCUGGUUCAGAGACAAAUCUCUUCAAAAGAAGCCAGUAGAAGUUGAAUUAUCUUUAUUUAUUGUUUUAAAAGGCCUAAAAACUUGAGAAAUUCGACUCAGAAUCCACGAGCCGUGACCACAAAGUAAAAAGAAAAGAAAACACAGAACUUGAUUAAUAGCGAGUUUAUGACUGCAAGGAAAUGCAUGAGAGUAUUAAUGUGUUUAAUUUACGCUUAAUGACUCUGGUGUGUGAGGCGCCGGCACUUGAGCAAAUUCUACAAACCUAAAACUGCACAGCUGGUUUCAAGGCGACUGCUGUUUUAUUUUUUUUCUCAACAAAGGGAGCAGUGAAAGGACAGCGACCGCCAAACACACCGCUGGGGACCAUGAAGGUAACUGGCCCUUUCAGUCUUGUUUGCUUGUGUGUGUCUGUGUGUGUCUGUGUGUGAGAGAGUGUCCUUCUGGUCUAAAAGCUAAAUAAACACACCGAAUUGGGGUCAAGGAUUCCUCAAACAGGUGCACUGGAUGCGACUCGAGCGAGAGACGGAACCUCCGUUUAAAAAGUAGCCACACAAAUGAACAGAAACCAGCCGGAAUUCAAUGAAAGCCGGCAAUCGGUACGCGUGAGUGACCACGAUGUCUCCAGGAACUUCUACGGGAACGAAGCCAGAACCUCCACCUGGAUCGUAUGCAGGGGAGAAGUAUCCAUCUGCCAUGUGUGGACCCCCGCUGUGAGGGGAGGAAGGGGGGGGCUCGGGAACAACCUGCUGCAGACAGAGACGUCAGGGAGGAUCUGCAGGGGAACUGAAAUAAAGGAGAGGAGGAAGCAACAGCAGGUGGGGCGGGAGGGAAACAACAAACACAGGGCUGGUUUUACACACACCUGCUCCACCGGCUGUCCUUCAUCAGCCGGAGGGACUAGGUUUUGGGGACGAGGUUUUGGUCCCGACUGAGGGAUUCAGUCAGAUUCGGGGAUUCCUUAAUGUAACCCCUCAGGCCCAAAGUGGCCAAGAGAGUCAGCUAGUGCAGGUUAAAGCUUUCCUAUCAAUAGAUGAAGCUCGGCAUUGAAAUAACUUGCAUGGUGAACGUUACUUAAAUAGUCUGAGACCGACGUUUGAAAAAGGUGAAAUAAUAAUGAGAUACUUGCAAUUACGAUUAAUUACCACUGCUUUAUACCUAAAUACAACUUUACUACAAUAUGUCAUAUCAAGACCCGAUUUAUGUUCAAAGCAAUGAAUCCUUUAGUAAUUACAUGUUAUACUGUUACUAUUUAUCUGUCUUGGAAUGUGCUGUCGCUUUUAAACAAAUGAACUUGGGGGAGAAAUACAACAUUGACCCCUGAAUGGUGCAUACUUAUUAUAUUAUAGUAUGUUACACCAUGCACGGAGGAGGGUUUUCGUGCCGUCUGCUCAGGUGGACAAGCUGCCUCAGACUGACAAGUGGUGACUCUCAGCACACACACACACACACAGACACACACACCAGAGACUAUGAGGUGAGACCGAGGGACUCGAUCGACGUCUCAGCUGCGAGAUAACAGUUAAUUGCCUUCAGUCCUCCUGACAAAGAUGGAGAGCGAGAGGUCGCCUAAGCCACCCGCGGCCUUCAUAACCUCGCAGCUCUGGGAAUCCUUUUCAUUUCUCUCCCUCCUUUGCUCUCUGACCCCCCUAUUCUCACACACACACACACACACACACACACACAGAGAGAGAUAAUAAAUGCCGUUACAGAGAGAAGAACUCAGACUGCCGAUUGAACUGUGAGAGCGGCUCAGACGGGCGAUGAUAAGAGCCGCUGGUGGUCAAACAGCAUCUGUACCAGCGGGAGUCUGGAUGUUUGUGCUCCUGUUUAAACUCACCCCCCCCCCAUCAAAGCUACGAUCGAGCGCCACCCACACCGAGGCCCCGCGAGCACCAACAAAAUGAGAAAAUCUGCAAUCAUCACAUUUCUGUCCGAGGAAUCAGUAUUAACGAAUCCUCUGAUGUACUCUGUGCCAAGACGUAGUCGGAUAAUUUACUUUAGUAAAAAUGGAAAUAAGUCAAUUUAAAGAAAUGAUUUACAAUUGAAAAGCACCCUUUGGACAUUUUAAAACGGUUUCUUUGCACAACCCUCAACUAUGUGAAAUUUGACAGGCGUUUUUUUGUGGUCUGCUUGGAUCAGAAAAGCUUCAAAGGGCCGGUGAGAUCUGGCUGCCCUUCCUUUGUCACAUGCAGGUUUCAUUAGAAUAAUAUGCGUCUCCACCCACAAGGAACUCAUUUUACAAACGUUCAGGAUAUUUAGCUGGCGAGCCAAUCAGAGCAGCCUGGGCUUUUCUCAGGCUUAAAGAAACAGCCGCUGUAACAUUAAAACAUUUUAACACGUUCCAGUAGAAACGCAAAACACAUGAACCAGAAAAUAAGCAUUUUAUGUUCCCUAUAAAAUGCAGAAAGUAAAAUGAUUCCAUUUCAGAAUAAUAUUUAAUGUACUUGUUAUUGACAUAGAUGGUUACCCUGCAGCCGGCUGCAACAUUAAAGUAAUGAACAUAUUAGUCCAAUAAUAUAUUAAAGUUAUUUGAGGCUAAAGUUAGAACCUUUAAUAACAUGUUGUCAACAAUCAGAGUGAAGGACAGAGUUCGAGUCUCCUCGACUCAACGAUCGCAGAAGAUCCUCAUUUUUUCACAUUUUAUCUCUCUGAGCAUCAAUACGACCAAAAGUUAUUUCUAAUAAAGUUGCCUUUGGGCGCAGCUCUCGAGCCAAUGAGCCAUGGUAUUUAGUUAAGGGCCGUUAGCAAUCAACUGCGUCCAAAACCAUGUCAGGCGCCCUCCGCGCCCGGUAGCCUCUGAUGGCGCCUUUUCAUGUGAGCCGCUUCAUUCGUCAGGCUGAUAAAUCCCUGAGCACAGACUGACAGGCUCUCCGGGAAGACGGAUGGGCCUGGGGAGACUUGUUAAAAGGGGAGUGAGGGGGGGGGGGCUCGCUGCGCCCCUUUUGGCGGGGAGUGGGCGGCGGGUUUGUGUGGCCGUGGAGGUCAACGUCUCACACACGAGCGGCCUUUAAAUCUCCCCGCUGGUCACAGAGCGCCAAACUGUUGUUUCCGAGAGCAGAAAGCUGAAGUCAGAUUAAUGGGCCUGCAGACGCGGGGUUCUCCGUGUCAGCUCUUCGUCACCCCUUCUUUGGGGUUUUUUUGUUUUUUCAGUGUAUACGUUACAUGCUGGGAAACGGUGCAGGUGGCGCCGUUGACGGAGACCCAAGGCGGCGACUAAGAGGGGAGAGGCGGGACUAGAAAAACACCAAUAUCUGCAUCCGCGGAGCGGGGAAACGCAGGCAUCGGACCCCCUUUUGUGUCCUUGAAUGCAACCAAAUCCAGACAGUGCGGCGGAGGAACAAUUGAGUUUGUUUUUCUUGAGUUACAUUCAAAAAAUAAGCUGGCGGUUGGGCCGACCAGCCCGUCCGCGUACCUCAUGUGGUGAGUUGCAGACGUAGUGUUGUAUGUAUCCUGCGUGGAAACGUUCCCCCACUGCAGAAAAAACACCUUUUCACUGUUAGUGGAAGAGCUGCAGGCAAUGUUAUGCCCCCCGUCUCCUCAACGGCCUUUCCUACAUCAUAGAUUUCUAAUUCUACUGCUGCUGCACCGGAGGGGGUGGGGGUCCGAGUCCACCCUUCCCUCCUGUCCAUCUCCUCAUCUAUCGGCUCACAUAUUAUUGUAGCAGGAGCGAAGGGAAGCACCCGUCAACCGGAAGUUCUGCUUCUGGAGAUUGAGCCAGUAGCUAAACGGCGCUUCCUGUCUCCCACCCCUCGUUCCCCCGUCUUAUGUUGCCUAAAGAACCAUUGCAUCAACAUUAAAAGUCAGAUUAAAGCCGAAUGCUUUUGUAACCUGUGUUGAAGAACCACCAAGUCAUUCAAGCUGCAGAACACGGAUCAUAGCGAAGGAAGAAGAACGUGUAUUUUGCAUUGUGGGAACAGCUUAUGUUUUUGAUAAAAGCAGUCGUCUGCACGGUGAGCGUUUACAGACUUCUGCAAACCGGCGAACCCCGAAGUGAGACAAAAAACGUCUCCGUCUCUGCUGAAGACAUUUUGCCCUCACCCAACCCAGUCCCCGCGGGCAGAACGCCGUACGAAUCGCAGGUCGUAGGUCACAGCAGGUUUGCAUUGAAUCAAGCGCAAAGUACACCCCGACACAUGUUACAGAUGUAUCCUCCACUUCUCAACACCGAUACAUCUACGUUUACGUCAAGGGACGGAGGAGAAACUUAAGUUCGGGCCAAACUGGGCGGAUAAUCACAACCAGGCCGAGCGAAAGGGCUCGACGCAGCGGCGAUCAAAGAGGGGCAACAAGUGGACGACGACGCUCUCUUGAUGUUAAACAGCGGGCUUAACCCAACAGAUGUUGCGUAGAUAAAAGGUCGGAGCGGCAAAUCUGCUUUUGUAAGCGUCGGUCAGGGUGUGGAGCUAGGUGGGGGUG
ensembl:lncRNA